CGAAGGCUGCCGGUGGGGGGGUGGGGCGGGGGAGGGGCUCUGGAAAGAACUGUAACACUUUAGCUUUGUGCAAAGCAAUUUUCCAUUACAGGAGAACUGAACAGAAAUUGAAACGCGAGGCUCAAUGCCCUGCCGCCCAGCUUGGUGGCUCUGUCGCUCGCUCCCAGACUGCUGCUGGAAGCUUGCCCACUUGGCAGCUUUGAAAGGUCUCACCCUUUCCCUGCGUUUGCAAGUGAAGGGGAGCCAGGGGAGAGCCACAUGACAAUGAGGUUGCCAGUUGACACCUUUGUGAUGUCAGCAGCCUCAGGAGACUGCCUGGCUGAGGGAAAGAGAUUCCUCACCUCUCCUUCUGGGUGGUGUGAGGGUGUUUUAUGUGUCUUGGUAAGCCAGCUGGAACUCCCUGGGGGAGUUGGGGCCUCAUGGGUAGGGGCCUGCAGCAUGUGUGUGUUGGAGACCAGGCUGGGUUCAGUGUGUGGAUGUGUAUAGUAUCUGUACCCGCUCCCCAUGGAGCUGUAGUAGAUUAGGUGACAUUGGACCCCCUAAUCUGCAGGCCAUAGAGGGAACAUGGGACAUCUCCAGGCCAACUCCUUUUCUUAGUGAUGAGCAGUGACUUGCUUGAGCCCUGUUUUCUUUAGACGCUGACUCCUGCUGUCUACCAGAUCCUCGUGGUACAAUGACUGGUGUAGACUGGCUUGUUGAAGUCACUCUCUGGAUCUGAGCAACGCUGGCUGAGCCGUGAUGAAGUAUUCCUAUCCAUCCACUAUGCUUCACAGUGGGAAUCUCUCACUGUUCAUCACCGCUGCCCUAGCAGCCGCAGGGAUUCUUCACCCAUGGUUGCUUAGGUUUAUAAGCAAGGAAGCUGAAUGAAGUCCCUUUCCUCUCUGGAUGAGCCCCUGGGUUUCUGGAAGAGUCUUAAAAUCACCCCUAAAUGGCUUCCAAGCACUGAAGCCCGAGAUGUUAGCUGGCCUGUGUGAGGCCUUGAGACAGAAUGCCACAGCCACACCCCAAGGAUGCUGAAGGGGAUUUCCCUCCUCUGUGGUUUUUCUCCUUUCUUCCCGCAGCACUCCUCCUACGUGCUAACAUCUUCUAGUCAAACAACUCUCCUUUUCAAAGGGACCAGGCACAGUUUCUGCUUAUCCCUGAGUAGCAGUGUUCAGUUUCCUGCCAGCCUGUGGAGUUUUUCAAACAAGCCAAUCACCUCCUCCUGUGGGAACUGAGAAGCACCCCACCCUCUCGAUACUACAAAGCCCCUGCUUGUUCCCUAGUGCAACUCCCAUGUGGUCCUGUGGAGCAUAUGGUAUCUUCCUCUUCUGGGCAGUGAGCAUAUGUGACUAAUAAACUAUCUAUCU
rnacentral:lncRNA from 1 species